rnacentral:lncRNA from 1 species
GCCAGACUUAUUGGCUCUCGUGGGUUCCCAAGCGUAUGGAACGUGAAGGGGGUUAGAGGUCCUUGUGCUCCAGGAUUGUUUGCGUGUGUGAGGGCGCGUGGGAGACCUAUAGCGUUGGGACCGAUGGUGGAUGGGACGUCUUCGCCUCUCUACUACCUAGAGGGGGCUAUGGCUGAUUGGGCCCUGAGAAUUGUUGAGGAUUACCGGUGUGCCGUGGGAUCGUCUUUGGAGUUCGUUGGUCGAUUGCUUGAAGUUGGGCCUCUCCCGGACGAGAAUUGCACAGUCGUCGACUUUGGUGCCCUCUGUCCUUCUAUUGAGCGGGCGCCCGCUGCAGUCAUGUUGUGUCGGUUCUUCUU